ACUACACUACCAUACCUGUCAACCGGUUAUCAGUGCCCUACCUUAUUACAGACCAAUUGCGACAUUAUUGGUCACCACAUACCCUUAUAAAUCUCAACGUUCAUCCUACAAAGUCUCAUCACAAGAGAGGAACGCAAACGAGACAACUUUGUGUUCGCCUGUAUUGACCAGAAAACUAAAGUUUCCCUGUACAAGAAUACGGGGUAAACCGUAUGGCUUGACACGGUGUUGUACGGGGUUGUGUGAGUUGCCAAACACAAGAUUGAGAAGCGCCGAGGCUGCUGGAAACGGAGAGAUUGGUUGAAUCGUCGCUUGGGAAGCAUCCUCCUGAUCGCCGAGAAGAUGGAAGUUCUUCUCCCCACCAGAGAAUGUGUGGGCUGCCUGCGAUGGAGACGUCCGCUGGAAGUGCCGGCUGUCGCGUCCAUCCGUCCGUUUGAGAAGACAGAAGAGUCUCCUGCUGGAGGACUGAAGGCUGGCAUGGAGGGAACUGUUGGAACGGGUGCCACCUGUAAGAUCGUCUCGUCUUGGAGACGGUGAACAUCUGUGCCUGUGGUCUGUGCAUGAAAAUUAAACAGCAGCAUCAACCGCCCGUCACCAACUAAUCGUCGGUGACGUGACACUUGCAGCGCUUGUGCCAGGCCAGGUGCACUUUGAGGCCACGUCAAGUGUCGAAGGCCUGCUGGCAGGAGGUCACGGAACACACCCAGGCGGCGGUGGUGGUGGGGGCUCGGCACUGGAUACACUGACCCCGUCGAUCGGCGUCUGAAUCCGGAGGUCGACAGUUCAAUAGGCACUGGUGGAGGCGGGGGGGGUUAAUAAACCUGCCCACCCCCCACCCCCCACCCCACGCUCCCAUUGUUUCAACUUCCACGCCCGGGGAGAUGGCAGUGCAGAAAUUCAAGCAAAUGAAAGUGAGAGCAAAGAUAAGAAUUGUCACGGAAAUGUUUUUUUGCAAGUGGAGGUGAAAGCUCGAUCUUAAGUGAAAUAUUAAAUUCCCUGCAGCCCACACACUCCACUGUACGUUUUAGUUUACCAGGUAAGGCCCCGCUGAGCUUGUCGCUCUUUCUCAGCAGGGACCCGACCAUCGGGAGUGAUAGCUCAACGGAGCGGACUCCGACGUGGAAAUGUAUGGCGGCCAAAAUACUCUUCAAGACGCGUGAUGUUGAUUAUUGAAGGUGGAGGGAGAAACCGGAGAAAGAUCCACAAGACCACGGGGGAGACGGCUAGAGACGCACAGCAAACUCCAAAUGUACAGCAGACGCCUGGGUCGGAAUCGAACCCACGACCUGUAUACCGGGCGAGAUGGUUAACUUUGUUUCAUGCCUUUGACCGUUCCCAAUUUGGGAUUCCCUCCAAAUCGUCUCUUCUUUCCAAGCUCUUGCGUUACCCUUGCUUCCUUCAAUAAACGUGUUACAACUUUGA